rnacentral:rRNA from 1 species
AUUGAACGCUGGCGGCAGGCCUAACACAUGCAAGUCGAACGAGUGGCGGACGGGUGAGUAAUGUCUGGGAAUCUGCCCGUUGGAGGGGGAUAACUUCUGGAAACGGUAGCUAAUACCGCAUACCAUCGGAUGUGCCCAGAUGGGAUUAGCUAGUAGGUGGGGUAACGGCUCACCUAGGCGACGCUCCCUAACUGGUCUGAGAGGAUGACCGGCCACACUGGGACUGAGACACGGUCCAGACUCCUACGAGAGGCAGCAGAGGGGAAUAGUGCACAAUGGGCGGAAGCAUGAUGCAGCCAUGCCGCGUGUAUGAAGAAGGCCUUCGGGUUGUGAAAUACAGUCAGCGAGGAAGCGUUGCUCGCAGAAGAAGCACCGGCUAACACCGUGCCAGCAGCCGCGGUAAUUC